ensembl:lncRNA uncharacterized LOC114800817
GCAGCAUUUCACACAAAUUUUAAUUUCACAAUUAAAAUUUUAUUUGUCACAUACACAGUCAUACACGGUAUGAUAUGCAGUGAAAUGCUUUAGCGACUGCUAUAGACCAAAUGGGAACAAGUCUAAAUCUGACAUGAUUACGGAGAAUUCUAGUCUCAAAUCUGGUCUAAAACAUGCAUAUACUCUUGUAAACAUUUAUACUUUCAUGUGUAACGUACGAGUUUGCAUGAAGAAGAAUGAAGUAGCCUUGCUGCAGGCUUGCUGAAGUAGCCUUGCUGCAGGAGGUCCCUCCUGCAGUAUUUGCAUACAACCUGAGCAUGAUUAGAAUCAUGCCACUACACAAUCAUGCAUCAAAGGUAGGUGCCUCAUGACUGAACAUUUUAUCACAGUAAGUGGCUGAUAUGGGUGCCAGCCCAUCACCUUACAGUCAUCUUCGCCCGCUGAUGAAACGAUCCACACCCGUUCCAGCCUGGUACGACACAACUGGGCCUGAUACUGUGAAGAACAAAGCUUCAUUGUUCGCGCCGUGGAAUCCCGCAGCAUGUUCCAGUAAACAGCCCAUUCACCAUAUCCCCGAGCUUUCAGAUGCCGGAGAUCUGUGUGAUCCGUGGCUCAUAUGGACACUAGGUUUUAAGAAAUGGCAGCUGCACAACACAUCCCCUGACAUGGUUACGUCGUUCCGGCUCUAAAGCUGCAGUGUUCGGUUGCUGUGGCUACGCGUCAUAAAAUUGCUUGACAAAGAGGCUGUGUAAGAAGUACUGAGGUAGCUGGAACUACAGCAUGCACAUCACAGUUUUCAUCAACUAUCGACAGAUUGGCUCUUAGUGACAUGAAAUGAGAAGCUGGCUGAGGGACCUUUGGUGAAAAAGAACUGACAGGGUGACAUGGGGGCCAGCUGGACUCAGAGCUGGAGAGAUGAAUUUAAGUGUCAGAAAGUCUCCCUGACCUCAGCCACACCAGAGGUGCUGCUUCAGCCACGGUGGCACAUUCCUCCCAGCAUCUGGCUCUUCUAUCGCUUCUCAACAUUUGCCUGGACCCUGGCCUGGUGCGUGCACUCCGGUCUACUCUUCGGCUCACCCAAAUGCCUCUUUUUACUCAGCUACCUGACCUACUGUCUGUUGGCUUUGUACUCCUUCAUUGCCCUGAUUAACCUGAUCUCAGCCUACAUUAUCAUUAAAGGCUUCUUCAAGAAGGUGGUCAAAGAAAUUCGUCCGGGAGGCAGUCGUGAGAAUUGGGCAUCUCUUCCGUUCCCCGAUUCCCUGGCCAAAUCACUGCGUGCUCAGUGGCUCUUCCAGGUGGUCAGCGCAGCCUUCUCCCUCAUCGUCUCGUUCCUCUACUGGACCAUCCACUUCCCACUCGCCCGGUACCCCCUCAGAGCCUUCAACAUGAACCUGGACUACAUCAACUCCUGCUUAGUAGCGCUGGACAUCCUCCUGUCAUCCACUCCUGUUCAUCUCUGCCACUAUGUCUACCUGAUGGCAGCUUGGAGCCUCUAUGUGAUUUUCGCUCUGAUUAUCUGGCUCUCCAGCAUCACCACCCUGAGCGGCCAGCCCUAUAUCUACAGGGAGCUGGACUUUAUAGGUCGUCCCUUCACGACUGCUUUUUUCGUCCUCUGCUUCUAUGUGCUCUUCAUCCCUGCGUCCCAGUUUAUCCUUUGGAAUGUGCAGCUCCUGAGAGAGAGGAUCCUCGGCGGCCCUUUUGGCAGGUGGUUUGGCCUGAGGAGGGAAGCCUGGUGGUGGAGCUCCGUGGGAGGUUUGCCCCUUCGCCUGGCUCCUGCUGUGGAGUCCAGCUCCUCUGUGUUUGGAAGCAGGCGAGGGGAGAUGUCAAGGAUCCAUUCAAACAUUCAGACCACGGCCACCCAUUCUGUUUAAUUGCCGUUUUGACGCCCGACUGAGCCUGAAACAACCUGAUAUACAUUAAGAAUUUGAUCAAAUUAGCUUUAUGUUUUAAUAAUUAAGCAUAUUGUGUUAUACAUAUACAUGGGUUUUAAUGUUUCUAGCAAUAACCUUAACAACUGUACAAAAACGCUGCAUUAUGUGACAGUCAGUUCUGACCACGAAUGAUGAUUGGCUGACUUUUACAAUAUUCUCCUAUAAUUAUUUACAUCUCUGCCGGUUUGGAAAACAGAAAAUGAUGAGCAAAACACAUUUGAUUGCAAGCUUAACUUUUAUGUAUUUAAAUAUCCACAUUUUUUAUGCACUAAAAAGUUUAUUUUGAUUCUAAUUGUGUAUCUGAUAUUUGUGUGAAACCUGACACUUGACACUUUACUUUUAAAGAGAACCCAUAAAUCAUAUUCAUACAGUGAUUUUACUGUUAACACACCUUCAGUGUUUUGUUGUAUUGCCUAUCUUACGUUUGAGAUGUCACAAUGCUUAGUGUAGCCAACAGGGGGAAGCAAAACGUUUCAUAAGAAGAACUUAUGCCAGUGAACGUCACUUACGGACGUAUCAUAUGCAACGAAUAAUGUACAUAAAUGCCUUACGAAAUAAUACAUACAUCCAAAUUGUUAAAACAACCAUCAUACAUGUCAUAUAUAAGUAACUAAUCAAGUGAAAGCUUCCUUUCACAUAUGGGACCCUUAGUGUGAAAUUUUACCUGUCUGUUUGGACAGACAGAAUGGACCAGACUCUGACCUGCCUUCUAGAAAAAUUCCUCUGUGCUUUGAACUUUCCUGGCGUGUGACACCCUCUGCACUGAAGGCCAGUGCCACUCUUUUAUACUGAGUCAUUGUUGUCUUUGGCUCAUAUCCUCACUUCCAUUUGGGGACUAUUUUAACUUUCUUCCUCACACAACUUGAAUUUCUUCAGAGGAAUCACCAGAGGACAUAACAAGGCACAAAUUGUUCUGAUUUAUAGUAUGCAAUAAUAUUCU